UCUGACCUCAGAAGAUGCAGCGAAAAUACGCAAGACGCGCAUAGAAGCAAGAUGUUGCUGCGCUGAGAACGCCGCUGGCCAGAAAUCCCCUCAGAGCGACGAGAGUAAAUCGCUGCAGUUGUCCCAGAUUCGGUGACAGAGGCGGCAGAAAUUGUAGGUUAUGUCGUCGACAGUUAGCGGAAAAUUCCCUCCAGGCUCAUAAAAGGCACAGAGAUUAUGAUUUUUUUAGCGCGAGCAUAAGAGCCGUUUGGGGGGUCCUUUCCGCUGUAAGAAAACACUCCGAGGAGUGAAGAAAAUAUUAGGAAAAGUACAAAGAUAGCAGAGCAACUCACUACUGCUUCUUGACUUACCUAUAGCACCACAGAGGAAACUGUAUGUAUGCGUGUGUGUAUUUGUACGUGUACGAGUACGCGCGUGUAUGUGGAAUUUGAUUGACUUAUUCAUAUUUUUUAUAUUAUAGGUGUAAGAGCUGCAGGAGCCACUUGAAGAGCCGCAGCUCGAUCUAUAGUCGGAGCAGAAGCUUGAUCUACAGUCGGAGCAGAAGCUUGAUCUACAGUCAGAUCUGCAGCCCGAUCUAAAGUCAGAGCCGCAGCUCGAUGUACAGUCGGAGCAAAAGCUCGAUCUACAGUCAGAGCUGCAGCACAAUCUUAAGUCAGAGCCGCAGCUCGAUAUAAAAUCUAGGCUGCAGCUGGAGCCGCAGCUCGAUCUACAACCAGAGUUGCAGCUGGAGCCGUGGUCGAAGCAGGCCCUUGAAGAACAUCAUCAGGAACAGUAGUAUUCACCUACAAAUGCCACCACCAUGCCUUAUUCACCGCAGUUUGUUCAACUAAAUAAGUAUAUGAGUAUCGAUGAUGCUGAGAUACUUUUCUCAAAGUUUGAUCUCGAAUAUUUUAAUGGAGUAUCAAAAAUGCCUGUUGGAAUUAGUAACGAUGAAACCAACGAAUAUGAUAAGAUAUUGAAGUCACUCCCUACACCAUCCGCUCCGGAGCCAUGCUCAUUAUCGAAGUCUGAAUCUUGUUUAAAUCCCUCCGUCCCUAUAACACCUUCUUAUAUAACACCAGCAUUAUCCUCCCCGAUUUUAUAUAGCGCACUAACAAACCCUCGUAAGCCAAUAUUAAAGUCAAUAAUCCCAGUAAACAUUCCUCUUCAUUUUAAUAAAAAACAAUUUAUAUCAAAACCAUUAACAAAAAGCUCUCCUAUAAAUAUUCCUCUCCUAAUAAUAAAAAAGAUUUAUUGAUAGCCGGCUGCUAUCCUAUUGAUAGCUAAUAUUAUUGAUAAUCCACCUUAUGAAAUUCCUAAAAAACGUAGCAGAGUUUAUCUGUGUGUAUGUGUGUGUGCAAAGAUUUAAUUAUAUAAUUUUAUAAUUUUUAUAGUUGUCAUUUAAGUUUAUAGCAU